rnacentral:pre_miRNA from 1 species
CGCGUCGGUGCCGUGUUCUGUGACUGACUGGGCUGACGUCGGACUGGCGGGCGCCCGCUGGUCUGUCACAGAACCUGAGACCGGUCGCAU